UGCGUAGGCGGUGAGGUAAGUCGGAUGUGAAAGCUCCGAGCUCAACUCGGAAAUGGCAUUGGAAACUACCUUGCUAGAGGGUUUGAGGGGGGACUGGAAUACUUGGUGUAGCAGUGAAAUGCGUAGAUAUCAAGUAGAACACCAGUGGCGAAGGCGAGUCCCUGGAAAACUCCUGACACUGAGGCACGAAAGCUGGGAGCAAACA
rnacentral:rRNA from 1 species